rnacentral:rRNA from 1 species
GUGCAGCAGUCGCGAAAACUUUACAAUGCGGGAAACCGUGAUAAGGGGACCCCGAGUGCCGGCGCAUGGCGUCGGCUGUCCGGAUGCCUAAAAAGCAUCCGAUAGCAAGGGCCGGGCAAGACCGGUGCCAGCCGCCGCGGUAACACCGGGCGGCUCGAGUGGUAGCCACUUUUAUUGGGUCUAAAGCGUCCGUAGCCGGCCUAGUAAGUCCCCUUGGGAAAUCUGGCGGCUUAACCGUCAGGCGAUCAGGGGAUACUGCUGGGCUUGGGACCGGGAGAGGUGAGAGGUACCUCAGGGGUAGGGGUGAAAUCCUGUAAUCCCUGAGGGACCGACCUGUGGCGAAGGCGUCUCACCAGAACGGGUCCGACGGUGAGGGACGAAAGCUGGGGGCACGAACCGGAUUAGAUACCCGUGUAAGU